rnacentral:rRNA from 1 species
AUACGUAGGGGGCGAGCGUUGUCCGGAAUGAUUGGGCGUAAAGGGCGCGUAGGCGGCCCGGUAAGUCUGGAGUGAGAGUCCUGCUUUUAAGGUGGGAAUUGCUUUGGAUACUGUCGGGCUUGAGUGCAGGAGAGGUAAGUGGAAUUCCCAGUGUAGCGGUGAAAUGCGUAGAGAUUGGGAGGAACACCAGUGGCGAAGGCGACUUACUGGACUGUAACUGACGCUGAGGCGCGAAAGUGUGGGGAGCAAACAGGAUUAGAUACCCUGGUAGUCCACACUGUAAACGAUGAAUGCUAGGUGUAGGGGGUAUCGACCCCUUCUGUGCCGCAGUUAACACAAUAAGCAUUCCGCCUGGGGAGUACGGCCGCAAGGUUGAAACUUAAAGGAAUUGACGGGG